rnacentral:rRNA from 1 species
UGGGGAAUAUUGCACAAUGGGCGCAAGCCUGAUGCAGCCAUGCCGCGUGUAUGAAGAAGGCCUUCGGGUUGUAAAGUACUUUCAGCGGGGAGGAAGGGAGUAAAGUUAAUACCUUUGCUCAUUGACGUUACCCGCAGAAGAAGCACCGGCUAACUCCGUGCCAGCAGCCGCGGUAAUACGGAGGGUGCAAGCGUUAAUCGGAAUUACUGGGCGUAAAGCGCACGCCGGCGGUUUGUUAAGUCAGAUGUGAAAUCCCCGGGCUCAACCUGGGAACUGCAUCUGAUACUGGCAAGCUUGAGUCUCGUGGAAGGGGGUAGAAUUCCAGGUGUAGCGGUGAAAUGCGUAGAUAUCUGGAGGAAUACCGGUGGCGAAGGCGGCCCCCUGGACGAAGACUGACGCUCAGGUGCGAAAGCGUGGGGAGCAAACAGG